rnacentral:lncRNA from 1 species
AUGACUCACGGCACGGGGAGUCCAGGCUGGAUCCAGCCCCCAGCUCCCAUCCCAGGAACUCGCUGUCGCAGGGUCCCAUCUGCGGGGACCAGGGCGGGGGGUGUGUGUGCGGUCCUGGCGCUCUCCACCACAGCCCCCACCGGGUGCUUUUGCUUUGCCCCGCGAACCGUUCGCCCCAGGACAACUGAGUGCCAGCGGCUGCAUCCACCUGGCAGCCGGGUGCUUUCGACCUCGGGCCUGGCAACCCCGCCGAGCGCCCGGCCAGGCAACGGGCCGGGCUGCACCUCCACCUGCACGGCCCACGGAUGCCUCGGCGCCAGGCAGCUGCCCAGGCUCCAGCGUGCUCACCCUGGAGGUUCUGCAGGCCCCGGACCCCCUUCGCUGUCCCACCCCAAAACGCCCCAGCAAGGGCACGUCCCGGCCGGCCGCUCGGCUCCUCUCCAGAGAUCCCAGCUCAUCUGCCGGGGGGAUUUGCCGGACGCGCUGCCUGGACCCCUGCCCGCAGCCGGAGCCCUGCGGCGGCGAAGAGGUGGCCCGGCCGGGCAGCCCCCCCCCCCGGCCCCCCCCCCCCCCCCCGUCCCGGCGGGCAGCGCCCCGCCCCAUCCCGCCGCCGGGCCCGCCAGCCACGGGGACGGGGCCGAGAGUGCCGUGGAACGCCCCCGCCCGCCGGCACGGCCGCAGCCCCGGCCCCACUCUGCCCCCCCCCCUACCCCCGCCCCGUCCGCAGCGGCCCCGGCCCUCGGCGACGGCCCGUCACGGGCACCGGAGCCCCCUCCCCGCGGGCGGCCGGCGAGGCCGUGGCGGCCGGCCGGGGAAGCCGUGAGCCCGCCCGCGGGGGCUAGCCGCCGCCGGGCCCCCGCGCCAGCGGCCGCCGUCCGACGCCCCCUACCCGAGUCCCAGGCCGGGAGGUGCCAGGCGGCGGAAGAGGCCCCGGUGUCCUCCCCCCGCUCCGGGAGCCGCCGCCCGCCCCCGGUACCGGUCCCGCGCCCCCGCCCCGCCCGCGGCGCCGUCGUUACCUGGCGGGAGCCGCCGCUCGGGCGGGGCGGCCGGGCCGGGCCGGGCCGCGCGGCCCCUCACUCCAUAGCGGCGGCGGCGGGCGCGGCUGGGCCGGCUCCGGCGGAAAGCGGCGAGCGCCAGGAAGGGGGAGGAGACGCGCGGGCGGCGGGUGCGCGCGGGGGGGAGCGCCGGCACCGGACCGGCCUCGGCGGCUCCCCAGGAGCCGGCCCGCCCCGCCGCUGGGCUGCGGCACCCCACGGGCCUCGCCGGCCCCACGCCCGCCCCGUAUCGGCCCCGUCCACUCGGGAUCCCACGCUCGCCCCAUAUCAGCCCCCAUCCAUCUGCCGCCCCCACACCUGCCCCGUAGCCGACACCCCCCCCCCACACGGCCCUGCUCCUGCCCUAUAUCAGCCCCCACCGCUGGGCUCCGCGGUCUCGCUGCUCUCCCGAGCCCGUCGCUCAGUCCCCAGGGACAGCCGUAGGGAUGCUCCAGGGCCGGGACCCCUCCAUCGAGGGGUGCGUGCCGGGCACCCCUAA